rnacentral:rRNA from 1 species
UUUACAUUUGAGUGAGUGGCGAACUGGUGAGUAACACGUGGGAAACCUGCCCAGAAGCGGGGGAUAACACCUGGAAACAGAUGCUAAUACCGCAUAACAACUUGGACCGCAUGGUCCGAGCUUGAAAGAUGGCUUCGGCUAUCACUUUUGGAUGGUCCCGCGGCGUAUUAGCUAGAUGGUGGGGUAACGGCUCACCAUGGCAAUGAUACGUAGCCGACCUGAGAGGGUAAUCGGCCACAUUGGGACUGAGACACGGCCCAAACUCCUACGGGAGGCAGCAGUAGGGAAUCUUCCACAAUGGACGAAAGUCUGAUGGAGCAACGCCGCGUGAGUGAAGAAGGGUUUCGGCUCGUAAAACUCUGUUGUUAAAGAAGAACAUAUCUGAGAGUAACUGUUCAGGUAUUGACGGUAUUUAACCAGAAAGCCACGGCUAACUACGUGCCAGCAGCCGCGGUAAUACGUAGGUGGCAAGCGUUGUCCGGAUUUAUUGGGCGUAAAGCGAGCGCAGGCGGUUUUUUAAGUCUGAUGUGAAAGCCUUCGGCUCAACCGAAGAAGUGCAUCGGAAACUGGGAAACUUGAGUGCAGAAGAGGACAGUGGAACUCCAUGUGUAGCGGUGAAAUGCGUAGAUAUAUGGAAGAACACCAGUGGCGAAGGCGGCUGUCUGGUCUGUAACUGACGCUGAGGCUCGAAAGUAUGGGUAGCAAACAGGAUUAGAUACCCUGGUAGUCCAUACCCGGUAAACGAUGAAUGCUAAGUGUUGGAGGGUUUCCGCCCUUCA